rnacentral:rRNA from 1 species
UACGAAGGGGGGUAGCGUUGUUCGGAAUUACUGGGCGUAAAGCGCGUGUAGGCGGGCCGUUAAGUCGGGGGUGAAAGCCCAGAGCUCAACUCUGGGAUUGCCCUCGAUACUGGCGGCCUGGAGCAUGAUAGAGGCGAGUGGAAUUGCCAGUGUAGAGGUGAAAUUCGUAGAUAUUCGCAGGAACACCAGUGGCGAAGGCGACUCGCUGGAUCAUUGCUGACGCUGAGACGCGAAAGCGUGGGGAGCACACAGG